ensembl:lncRNA
GAAAAAAUAUAUAUCCCUGUAGGUUGUGAUUUCCACAUCUUUAUGUACUUACCCCUAAAUUGCUUUCAGGAAUAUGUGCAGAUCUGCCUACUCGAACAUAAAGCCUGGAUAUGGACACUGACAAUGUCAGAGCAAUUCAGCAGAACCCAUAAAUCAACAGGUGUUUGCAAGCACGUUCUCAGUUUCAUGAUCAGAGAGAUCCCUGAGAGUGCAGAGUGGCAUUUGUCAGUAUUGUACACAAAUUACAGCAUUUCUUUGUGAUAGAACUAGUAAAAAUGAUCCUGUUAAUUGCUUUUUAGCCUCAUCUUUUUCACUCAAGUACUCAAAUGUAGCUAAGUCUUUUGAUGAGGUGGAUGGCAUGGCAAUUGUAACUGUUUUCCUGAAGGUCAGUUAAUGACAUACUGAAAACAUAUGGGUCUCUCCUUAUCAAAACUGUACUCAGUGGUGAGGACUGCAAAAAAAAAAAAAAAACAAACAAAAAAACAUGCAGUGGAGGUGACUGUCUCUUAUCCUGACUCAGCCCAUAUUGCCAUCUUUGCCCAUGAUACUACACUUUCUGCCCCAAUUCCCAUUUCAUUCACGGAGUCUUCGAGAAGAGCUGUGGUUUGUAGCUUAGUUCUUGUAAUGAAAACCUGAAGGGUAUCUUGAAGGUCUUGGAUUCAGCAAAGACUAAGGUUCAGCAUGGGCAUGAGACCUGUGGUUUCGAUCAGCUGGAGACAUUUGCACGUGUGAAGAAGGGUGACAGAAGGUGGGCAGCUGGAUCUACUGGUUCAUCUCAAGCUCAUCUCCAACAUAAAUGACUACACCCUAUUUCUUUUUGUGCAACUCCUCUGGAAAAUUACUUUAAUAAAAUACAUGUGAAAAUAUUAAGUAGGAACAACUGUGAAAAUCAAAUGGAUCUACUUAUGACAACCAAGAAAAUGAAUAAGCAAUUCAUAGUCUAUGAAACUGUAAGGCAACGGAAACGUCCUUGAUUUGAUCAAGUAAAGGCAAACUCAUUUCAUAGUAUCUCUAGACUUUGACUACCAGUGAAGCAGAGCUCUCUUAUCUUUAGAACAAAGAAAGAGAACAAAAUUCAAACAGGAUUAUAUUUUAAGACAUAAAACUAUCACUCUGUUGACAACUACUGAUACCUGCUGUCAAUAUAAAAGAGGGAAAGGAAAAUUACUUAGUGUAGUAGUUUGAAUGGAUGAUUUCUCAGUGUCAAAGAUUUAAUAAAACUACGUAGAAAAACAUAAAUAUUUUAAAUCUUCUUUUAAGAAUAACAUUUUCUCUCUCUUUUUUUUUUUUUUUUAACCAGAAUUAAUCAUUUUCUCAUUUGCUGCUCAAUGUUUUAUCCAUACAUAAAAAUAUUGAUAUCUGUGCAGUGCAUCAUAGCCAAACCCUACAGUAAAUCAUUCACAGUCCCAAAUACAAGUAAAUGGCAAGCUACCACUUAAACAACUCUUCUGCUAAGCAUCUCCUCAUUGUGCAAAGAGUCACAAAAUAGAGUAACUCUGCUAAAAUAAAGUUCCCUCAUAGCUCUACAGCUGUGAAACAGUAGUUCCAUUUAGCAUUUCACAUCUGAUCAGCAGAACAGGCUUCAGGUCAGGCUCCAGCAACACCUUUCAUCUUGAACUCUGUCAGGCAUGUUAACUAGGACUCCUUUUUUGGGUUUACAAGACAAAAUUGGUAUGAUUACUGUUCCACAUUCAUUUUUUUUUUUUCUUUAGAAAAGCUUUUCUAGUUCAACUUUUCCUUCAUGUUGAGGGAACUGAUAAAACUUUGUAGAUGUGAUAGUCUAAGGAGGCCUAAGUAAUGGUUCAUGACAGAGUGUAUGGAUUUUUACCACAGCGUUUAUAGAUCUCUUGGAAAAGGGAAGACCUUGUCUUACAGGGAAUCCUCCACAGCUCUAAUCCAUGCUGUACAAGAUACAAUAGUGCAGGAACUGCACUGCUAAGCAAGCCCAACAGCACAGGACAUGAAACACAGAGUGUAGAGGCAGCUAACAACAACAUUGGGCAGUGGAAACAUUAGCUGAAAAAAUGCCACAAGUAUUUAUAAUGCAUUGCUACCUAUGCUAAGUGAAUUCAUGAUAGCUUAAUUGCAUGCUUUAUUCUCUUUUUUUUUGUUUGUUUGUUUUUGUUUUGUUUUAUAUUGUAUUGGCACAGAUAUAUUGGCUCAAAUAAAAAGCAUUUAUUUUAACUG